AGUGCACGCCAGGCAGGCUGGCUUCCGGAGCAUCCGCGUAAUCUGGCCCCCACUCGCCCGUGGGCGGAAGGCAGGCCGCAAGAGCACGUGCAC
rnacentral:SRP_RNA from 1 species